rnacentral:lncRNA from 1 species
UCUGUCUGUCUCUCUCUCUCUCUCUCUCGCUCGCUCGCUCGCUCGAUCUAUUCUGUCGCCGAUGGAAGCCAUUCUCUCGGAGCUCCGGCCGCCCGCUGCUGGCUUCCUGGUGGCCUCCCCCCGCGCUCCUGGUAGGUCAUGUCUCUACUGUAAUGGUGAUCGCCGUCUCCUGGUACUGAAUUCCUUCUUGAGGAGGAUCUAUUUUCUUCGCACAAUUACCGACUCGAUUGAGCCUCGAUGGUGGCGCGAGAGUUCUGCCGAUACGUCGCAUAAUUUUCGACGAGGAGGUUGUGGAUGGCUCCUUCUUCUCUUUGGAGGAAAGUGGAGGUAUGAAGCGUCUCCGAUGGCGAUUUGUGGCGAUUAGGAGUUUGUGCACUGCAUUUUCCAGAUUUCGAGAGUGGGAGAAUUGUUUGGGGCUGAGUGAAAAUGGCGUCGACUGGUGUACGCAGCGGGAUUGUGGUCCUACUUUGGUAUGCGACCUUCUCUUAGAUUUUUCCUGAGGAAUGCUGUUUCAUCUGUUACGUAAUGAGAAUGGAAACCUGGGAAUAGGGACCAAAAGUUCAUCCAGGCACAGUUUGCCAAAUUUCUGCAAUUCGCACCUGGCGGUUCAUCUUUUUUCUUGUAUUCUGUUUUCUGGUUUGCUUUUAGGAUUUUCUGAAUUCUGUAAACUCGAACGCAUAGCAUAGCAUAAUUUCUUAAUAACAACUUUGAAUAUAGACAUGCCAAAUUUAGAUCCGAAUCAGUCCGAUUUAUUUCUAGUAUCCAGCUUCUAUGAAACCCUAACCUAGUUUUUGCACCCCUUCGCAGUCUUCAUAUGAUGCAGAGUAGGUGUGAUACCCUAACCAUGAAUCCAGGUCCGAUGCUCAUCAUUAAAUUUAAAAAAACUUUGGAUUUUCGAAGAGGAUGUGUACAUAGCAAAGAGAAAAAAACCUCUUAAAAUGUGAUUUUAUUUCAAGGAUCGGGCAUCCCACGGGUACCAGAUUAGACUUUGUCUCCCUAUGCAGAUAAUCUAUAUGCAUCUGUCCAUGCGAUAUCAACAGACGAAAAUCAUACCAUUUUCCUUGAUUUGGGGAACCGACUGACACAGUUCUUCAGUUCAUGGAUUCCCCAGUAUUGUCUCCUCUGUGUUUGGUUUAUAGAUUUAGUUUCUUGAUAAACAGAGUAAACCUGAUAGAUCAGAUUAACCAGCAGAAAGAUUCAGCACCCAUGCUGAAAAGUUCUCGUGAAAAUCUAACUAUCACAGGAAGCCAGGCCGGUUUUCUGCUCCAGACGCCUGCUGUGAUUAGGCCUAGAUUCAUUAAGAGCUGAGUACUCAUUUUUUGAUGCAGCUUGUUGAACUUGGCAGAUGCUGCGGUUAGGGUUCUAACUGCUUCUUUCCCGAGGAGGCUACUCCAGAUUCCGGUGUGCUGCAUCAGAAAGGAAGGAAGCAGGAGGGGUAGUUCCCAGAAGAGGAAACCUGCACCAGAUGAACCAGCGGAGGUAGAAAAAGGAUCCAAGGAUCCCCAACCGUCCGGUGGAGAGUCAUCUGGAUCAUCUAGACAGGGAGAAAUACUCGAGCUGCUCAAAAGAAUUCAGCUGUCCGUCUCAGAAGGAGAACCCGGAAAGAGAGAGAAAGUAAGAGAGAGAAAAACAGAGAAACGUCAACCAACCAAAUCAGGCCCACAAUCUCAAGGCCAGGGCCCUGCUAGGAAGCAAGCAAGAGGUAUGCAGCACCUGUUGACUGUUUUUGGCCAUCUUCUUGUGGUUAUCAGACUAAAGUUUUACUCUUUCUAUCAGUGAUUAUUCAUGUGUAAAUUGCAUCAGAAUGGCCUAUUUUUGUCCAAUUGAAACAUACAUUGAACAUGUCGAAGCGAUAAUUAAAUAAAUGUUCAUCAUAAACAUGUUUCCUGCAUGUUAUCCGGAUUAAACAGCAGAUUGAAUAAUUGUUGGAGUUUAUUGUUUUAAAUGUUGACUCUUUAUUUUUAUUUUCCCCAAUUAUUGUCCACCCAUUUGCUCAUUUUGGAAAUGUUGAGCCGACAAAAUUCAUUGAAUCGAGGAAGGGAACUGCUUUGAUUGUUUUUGGAAUUCAUCAUCUGCCGAAUCGUUCUGUACUCGAUCUCUGGGUUUCUGGUUCCUCGGAAUUGACUUUUUCGCGUAUCAACAGAUUGGGUUUCUCUCAAAGUUCUUUUCAAGGGUGGGGGGAGACUUGAUGGACCAUUUUUCCUGUUUCCGGAUAGCCUUGUGCGUUGACUUUUAUCCCCCACCCAACUUGGGCGUCCCCGCAGGAAGAAGAACUAGCCAUUCAGGGGAUCAAGAGCCAUCCAAACAGAAAUCUGCUUUGAAAAACAACGUGAGAUCGGAGGACUCUCCACCAUCCGACGACUUCAAGCCGUCGAGGUCUCCGUCAAAUUUUUUCAGGCGGUCACCCAUCCCGGCUCCAUCGCCACCCAGGGGAGGCAUCGCCGCCGCCGCCGCCGCCCCGUUGACCGACGAAAGGCCCGCAGAGGAAGCCCCGGGGACGCAGGAGAUUGAUGGAUUGAGGCUCUCUGAGCUGAAGGAGCUCGCAAGAUCCAGAGGGAUCAGAGGC